rnacentral:rRNA from 1 species
CAAGGCGAUGAUGCAUAGCCGAGUUGAGAGACUGAUCGGCCACAAUGGAACUGAGACACGGUCCAUACUCCUACGGGAGGCAGCAGUAGGGAAUCUUCCACAAUGGGCGCAAGCCUGAUGGAGCAACACCGCGUGAGUGAAGAAGGGUUUCGGCUCGUAAAGCUCUGUUGUUGGAGAAGAACGUGCGCGAGAGUAACUGUUCACGCAGUGACGGUAUCCAACCAGAAAGUCACGGCUAACUACGUGCCAGCAGCCGCGGUAAUACGUAGGUGGCAAGCGUUAUCCGGAUUUAUUGGGCGUAAAGCGAGCGCAGGCGGUUGCUUAGGUCUGAUGUGAAAGCCUUCGGCUUAACCGAAGAAGUGCAUCGGAAACCGGGCGACUUGAGUGCAGAAGAGGACAGUGGAACUCCAUGUGUAGCGGUGGAAUGCGUAGAUAUAUGGAAGAACACCAGUGGCGAAGGCGGCUGUCUGGUCUGCAACUGACGCUGAGGCUCGAAAGCAUGGGUAGCGAACAGGAUUAGAUACCCUGGUAGUCCAUGCCGUAAACGAUGAGUGCUAGGUGUUGGAGGGUUUCCGCCCUUCAGUGCCGGAGCUAACGCA